CGGUAAUUCCAGCUCCAAUAGCGUAUACUAAAGUUGUUGCAGUUAAAAAGCUCGUAGUUGGAUUUCUGCGGGGACGGAGCGGCCGGACGCAACUUGCGUCUCGAGCUAGCGCUUUCCCCGCAUCCUGCCGCGAACCGUGCUACCAUUAGCUUGGUGGCGCUGGGGAUCGGCUCGAUUACUUUGAGAAAAAUAGAGUGUUCAAAGCAGGCCACACGCCUUGAAUAAGUUAGCAUGGAAUAAUGACUAAGGACUUUGGUUCUUUUCGUUGGUGUUCGGGACUGAAGUAAUGAUUGAUAGGGACAGUUGGGGCGGUCUGUAUUCCAAAGCGAGAGGUGAAAUUCUUAGACCUUCGGAAGACAAACAGCUGCGAAAGCGUUCCGCAAGGAUGUUCCCUUUGAUCAAGAACGAAAGUUGGGGGAUCGAAGACGAUCAGAUACCGUCGUAGUCUCAACUAUAAACUAUACCAGCUAGGGAUCGGCCAACGUUUAAUUAUUCGACUUGGUCGGCACCUUAUGAGAAAUCAAAGCAUCUGGGUUCCGGGGGGAGUAUGGUCGCAAGGCUGAAACUUAAAGGAAUUGACGGAAGGGCACCACCAGGCGUGGAGCCUGUGGCUUAAUUUGACUCAACACGGGAAAACUUACCAGGUCCAGACAUAGGAAGGAUUGACAGAUUGAUAGCUCUUUCUUGAUUCUGUGGGUGGUGGUGCAUGGCCGUUUUUAGUCGGUGAAGUGAUUUGUCUGCUUAAUUGCGUUAACGGACGAGACCCCAGCCUGCUAAAUAGCGCGGCCGAGCUUUGCUCGGUGCGAGCUUCUUAGAGGGACCAUGAUGCGCGAUAGCACAAGGAAGUUUGGGGCAACAACAGGUCUGUGGUGCCCUUAGAUGUUCUGGGCCGCACACGGGCUACACUGGCGCCUGCAACGAGCAUAUCAGCUGGCCUGAGAGGGUCUUGGCUAAUCUUUGGAACCGGCGCCGUGCUUGGGAUUGACCAUUGCAAUUGUUGGUCAUGCAACGAGGAAUGCCUUGUAAACGCGAGUCAUCAGCUCGCAUUGAAUACGUCCCUGCCCUUUGUACACACCGCCCGUCGCUCCUACCGAUGAAUGUUCCGAUGAAAUUUUCGGAGAGCGCCGGAGAACGGGGCUCUGCCCUGCAGAACUGGAGGCUCAAAGUCACUUAAAUCUGAACAUUUCGAGGAAGGAGAAGUCGUAACAAGGUAGCCG
rnacentral:rRNA from 1 species